rnacentral:rRNA from 1 species
GGUUAAGCGACUAAGCGUACACGGUGGAUGCCCUGGCAGUCAGAGGCGAUGAAGGACGUGCUAAUCUGCGAUAAGCGCCGGUAAGGUGAUAUGAACCGUUAUAACCGGCGAUUUCCGAAUGGGGAAACCCAGUGUGACUCGUCACACUAUCAUUAACUGAAUCCAUAGGUUAAUGAGGCGAACCGGGGGAACUGAAACAUCUAAGUACCCCGAGGAAAAGAAAUCAACCGAGAUUCCCCCAGUAGCGGCGAGCGAACGGGGAGGAGCCCAGAGCCUGAAUCAGCAUGUGUGUUAGUGGAAGCGUCUGGAAAGGCGCGCGAUACAGGGUGACAGCCCCGUACACAAAAGCGCAUGUGCUGUGAGCUCGAUGAGUAGGGCGGGAC